UGCCUAAUACAUGCAAGUCNAACGGGGUCCAUCCAGUGGCAACACUGGNGAAGACCUAGUGGCGAACGGGUGAGUAACACGUGAGAAACCUGCCCCGACCUCUGGAAUAACAGGUGGAAACACCUGCUAAUACUGGAUGCCUUCCCCGCACCUCCUGGUGUGGCGAAGAAAGAUUUAUCGGAUCGGGAGGGUCUCGCGGCCUAUCAGCUUGUUGGUGGGGUAACGGCCUACCAAGGCUUCGACGGGUAGCUGGUCUGAGAGGACGAUCAGCCACACUGGGACUGAGACACGGCCCAGACUCCUACGGGAGGCAGCAGUAGGGAAUCUUGCGCAAUGGGCGAAAGCCUGACGCAGCAACGCCGCGUGGGGGAUGAAGGCCCUCGGGUUGUAAACCCCUUUCAGCAGGAACGAAUCUGACGGUACCUGCAGAAGAAGGCCCGGCUAACUACGUGCCAGCAGCCGCGGUAACACGUAGGGGCCAAGCGUUGUCCGGAUUCAUUGGGCGUAAAGAGCUCGUAGGCGGUUCAGUUAGUCGGGUGUGAAAUCUCCGGGCUCAACCCGGAGGGGCCACCCGAUACUGCUGUGACUUGAGUCCGGUAGGGGAG
rnacentral:rRNA from 1 species